AACGAACGCUGGCGGCGCGUCUUAAGCAUGCAAGUCGAACGGCAAGAGAGGAGCUUGCUUCUCUCCUAGAGUGGCGGACUGGUGAGGAACACGUGGGUAAUCUACCCUUAAGAUGGGGAUAGCUGCUAGAAAUAGCAGGUAAUACCGAAUACACUCGGCAUAUCACAAGAGAUGUUGAGGAAAGGAAGCUACGGCUUCGCUUGAGGAUGAGCUUGCGUCCCAUUAGCUAGUUGGUGAGGUAAAGGCCCACCAAGGCGACGAUGGGUAUCCGGCCUGAGAGGGUGAACGGACACAUUGGGACUGAGAUACGGCCCAAACUCCUACGGGAGGCAGCAGCUAAGAAUAUUCCGCAAUGGACGGAAGUCUGACGGAGCGACGCCGCGUGGAUGAAGAAGGCUGAAAAGUUGUAAAAUCCUUUUGUUGAUGAAGAAUAAGGGUGAGAGGGAAUGCUCAUCUGAUGACGGUAAUCGACGAAUAAGCCCCGGCUAAUUACGUGCCAGCAGCCGCGGUAACACGUAAGGGGCGAGCGUUGUUCGGAAUUAUUGGGCGUAAAGGGCAUGUAGGCGGCUAUGUAAGCCUGAUGUGAAAUCCUGGGGCUUAACCCUAGAAUAGCAUUGGGUACUGUAUAGCUUGAAUUACGGAAGGGAAACUGGAAUUCCAAGUGUAGGGGUGGAAUCUGUAGAUAUUUGGAAGAACACCGGUGGCGAAGGCGGGUUUCUGGCCGAUAAUUGACGCUGAGAUGCGAAAGUGUGGGGAUCGAACAGG
rnacentral:rRNA from 1 species